AUGCAAGUCGAACGAACUUCCGUUAAUUGAUUAUGGAGGUGCUUGCACUGAAUGAGAUUUUAACACGAAGUGAGUGGCGGACGGGUGAGUAACACGUGGGUAACCUGCCCAGAAGCAGGGGAUAACACCUGGAAACAGAUGCUAAUACCGUAUAACAGAGAAAACCGCCUGGUUUUCUUUUAAAAGAUGGCUCUGCUAUCACUUCUGGAUGGACCCGCGGCGCAUUAGCUAGUUGGUGAGGUAACGGCUCACCAAGGCGAUGAUGCGUAGCCGACCUGAGAGGGUAAUCGGCCACAUUGGGACUGAGACACGGCCCAGACUCCUACGGGAGGCAGCAGUAGGGAAUCUUCCACAAUGGACGCAAGUCUGAUGGAGCAACGCCGCGUGAGUGAAGAAGGGUUUCGGCUCGUAAAGCUCUGUUGUUAAAGAAGAACGUGGGUGAGAGUAACUGUUCACCCAGUGACGGUAUUUAACCAGAAAGCCACGGCUAACUACGUGCCAGCAGCCGCGGUAAUACGUAGGUGGCAAGCGUUAUCCGGAUUUAUUGGGCGUAAAGCGAGCGCAGGCGGUCUUUUAAGUCUAAUGUGAAAGCCUUCGGCUCAACCGAAGAAGUGCAUUGGAAACUGGGAGACUUGAGUGCAGAAGAGGACAGUGGAACUCCAUGUGUAGCGGUGAAAUGCGUAGAUAUAUGGAAGAACACCAGUGGCGAAGGCGGCUGUCUGGUCUGUAACUGACGCUGAGCUCGAAAGCAUGGGUAGCGAACAGGAUUAGAUACCCUGGUAGUCCAUGCCGUAAACGAUGAUUACUAAGUGUUGGAGGGUUUCCGCCCUUCAGUGCUGCAGCUAACGCAUUA
rnacentral:rRNA from 1 species